rnacentral:rRNA from 1 species
GGCAGGCCUAACACAUGCAAGUCGAGCGGUAGCGGGCCUGACCACUCUCGAGUGGUUCAGGUGCCGACGAGCGGCGGACGGGUGCGUAACACGUAGGAAUCUGCCCGGUAGUGGGGGAUAGCCCGGAGAAAUUCGGAUUAAUACCGCAUACGCCCUAAGGGGGAAAGCAGGGGAUCUUCGGACCUUGCGCUAUCGGAUGAGCCUGCGUCGGAUUAGCUAGUUGGUGGGGUAAAGGCCUACCAAGGCGACGAUCCGUAGCUGGUCUGAGAGGAUGAUCAGCCACACUGGGACUGAGACACGGCCCAGACUCCUACGGGAGGCAGCAGUGGGGAAUAUUGCACAAUGGGCGAAAGCCUGAUGCAGCCAUGCCGCGUGUGUGAAGAAGGCCCUAGGGUUGUAAAGCACUUUCAGUGGGGAGGAAAGGUCGAAGGUUAAUACCCUUUGGCUGUGACGUUACCCACAGAAGAAGCACCGGCUAACUCCGUGCCAGCAGCCGCGGUAAUACGGAGGGUGCGAGCGUUAAUCGGAAUUACUGGGCGUAAAGCGUGCGUAGGCGGCCAUUUAAGUUGGAUGUGAAAGCCCCGGGCUCAACCUGGGAACUGCAUCCAAAACUGGGUGGCUUGAGUGCGAGAGAGGAGUGUGGAAUUUCCUGUGUAGCGGUGAAAUGCGUAGAUAUAGGAAGGAACCNCCAGUGGCGAAGGCGACACUCUGGCUUGACACUGACGCUGAGGUACGAAAGCGUGGGGAGCAAACAGGAUUAGAUACCCUGGUAGUCCACGCCGUAAACGAUGUCUACUAGUUGUCGGUGGUCUUGUACUGCUGGUAACGCAGCUAACGCGAUAAGUAGACCGCCUGGGGAGUACGGCC